rnacentral:rRNA from 1 species
GCCAGACUCCUACGGGAGGCAGCAGUGGGGAAUAUUGCACAAUGGGGGAAACCCUGAUGCAGCGACGCCGCGUGAGUGAAGAAGUAUUUCGGUAUGUAAAGCUCUAUCAGCAGGGAAGAAAAUGACAGUACCUGACUAAGAAGCCCCGGCUAACUACGUGCCAGCAGCCGCGGUAAUACGUAGGGGGCAAGCGUUAUUCGGAUUUACUGGGUGUAAAGGGAGCGUAGACGGUGAUGCAAGUCAGAAGUGAAAGCCCGGGGCUCAACUCCGGGACUGCUUUUGAAACUGUGUAACUGGAGUGCAGGAGAGGUAAGCGGAAUUCCUGGUGUAGCGGUGAAAUGCGUAGAUAUCAGGAGGAACACCAGUGGCGAAGGCGGCUUACUGGACUGUAACUGACGUUGAGGCUCGAAAGCGUGGGGAGCAAACAGGAUUAGAUACCCGAGUA